rnacentral:rRNA from 1 species
AGAGUUUGAUCAUGGCUCAGAUUGAACGCUGGCGGCAUGCCUUACACAUGCAAGUCGAACGGCAGCGCGGGAUGGCUCAGAACGAACGCUGGCGGCGUGGAUAAGACAUGCAAGUCGAGCGCGAAUUUGCCUGUAGCAAUACAGGUAAGUUUGAGCGGCGCAAGGGUGCGUAACACGUGGGUAAUUUGCCGUGAAGUUGGGGAUAACUCGCUGAAAGGCGAGCUAAUACCGGAUGUGGAAUGAGAGUGGCAUCACUUUUCUUCUAAAGCUGGGGAUCGUAAGACCUGGCGCUUCAUGAUAAGCCCGCGGCCUAUCAGCUAGUUGGUGCGGUAACGGCGCACCAAGGCUAAGACGGGUAGCUGGUCUGAGAGGACGACCAGCCACACUGGAACUGAGACACGGUCCAGACACCUACGGGUGGCAGCAGUCGAGAAUUUUUCUCAAUGGGCGCAAGCCUGAAGGAGCGACGCCGCGUGUGGGAUGAAGGGUUUCGAUCCGUA